UCCCAGACUCCUACGGGAGGCAGCAGUGAGGAAUAUUGGUCAAUGGCCGCAGGGCUGAACCAGCCAAGUCGCGUGAGGGAUGACGGUCCUAUGGAUUGUAAACCUCUUUUGUCAGGGAGCAAAGGGCGCCACGUGUGGCGCUUUGCGAGUACCUGAAGAAAAAGCAUCGGCUAACUCCGUGCCAGCAGCCGCGGUAAUACGGAGGAUGCGAGCGUUAUCCGGAUUUAUUGGGUUUAAAGGGUGCGCAGGCGGAAUGUCAAGUCAGCGGUAAAAUUUCGGGGCUCAACCCCGUCGUGCCGUUGAAACUGGGGGCCUUGAGUGGGCGAGAAGAAGGCGGAAUGCGCGGUGUAGCGGUGAAAUGCAUAGAUAUCACGCAGAACUCCGAUUGCGAAGGCAGCUUACUAAACUAUAACUGACACUGAAGCACGAAAGCGUGGGGAUCAAACAGGAUUAGAUACCCCAGUA
rnacentral:rRNA from 1 species